UUGGCUUGGAAGCAGCCAUUCAUUUAAAGAGUGCGUAACAGCUCACUAGUCGAGCGGUUCGGCAUGGAUAAUAAUCGGGCAUAAGCAUAUUACCGAAGCUAUGGCAACGAAAGUUGGGUAGGGGAGCAUUCUAUCGGCGUAGAAGCAUCACUGUGAGGUGUUGUGGAGCUUAUAGAAAAGAAAAUGUAGGCAUAAGUAACGAUAAAGCAGGCGAGAAACCUGCUCACCGAAAGACUAAGGGUUCCUCAGCCAUGCUAAUCAGCUGAGGGUUAGUCGGGACCUAACGCGAACCCGAGAGGGGAAGUGGAUGGACAAUGGGUUAAUAUUCCCAUACUUGCUCACGAAUAAAGGGGACGGUUCAGCCAGACUACUGGAGACUGACGGAAUAGUCAAGACCUAGCCUACGGGCGAAGUUGUUGUAGAGUAACUGGAUCCAAGAAAAGCCGAAGUGAAGCAACCCGUACCAUAAACCGACACAGGUAGUCGAGGAGAGAAUCCUAAGGUGCUCGAGUGAGUCGUGGCUAAGGAACUAGGCAAAAUAGUCUCGUAACUUCGGAAUAAGAGACGCCAACAGCGAUGUUGGCCGCAGUGAAGAGGCCCAGGCGACUGUUUAUCAAAAACACAGGACUCUGCUAAAUCGAAAGAUGCUGUAUAGGGUCUGACACCUGCCCGGUGCUGGAAGGUUAAGGAAGGUGCUUAGCGUAAGCGAAGGCAUUGACUGAAGCCCCAGUAAACGGCGGCCGUAACUAUAACGGUCCUAAGGUAGCGAAAUUCCUUGUCGGGUAAGUUCCGACCUGCACGAAUGGUGUAACGAUCUGGGCACUGUCUCAGCCACGAGCUCGGUGAAAUUGUAGUAUCGGUGAAGAUGCCGAUUACCCGCAAUGGGACGAAAAGACCCUGUGAACCUUUACUAUAACUUCGUAUUGACUUUGAGUAAGUAAUGUGUAGGAUAGGUGGGAGGCUAUGAAGCUGGCACGCUAGUGUUGGUGGAGCCGUUGUUGAAAUACCACCCUUUGCUUACUUGGAGCCUAACUUCUGAAUAAGAGUAAGAAGGACAUUGCGUGGUGGGUAGUUUGACUGGGGUGGUCGCCUCCAAAAGAGUAACGGAGGCUUUCAAAGGUACCCUCAGCACGCUUGGUAACCGUGCGUAGAGUGUAAUGGCAUAAGGGUGCUUGACUGUGAGACCAACAAGUCGAUCAGGUGCGAAAGCAGGACAUAGUGAUCCGGUGGUUCCGUAUGGAAGGGCCAUCGCUCAUAGGAUAAAAGGUACUCCGGGGAUAACAGGCUAGUCUCCCCCAAGAGCUCACAUCGACGGGGAGGUUCGGCACCUCGAUGUCGGCUCGUCACAUCCUGGGGCUGGAGAAGGUCCCAAGGGUU
rnacentral:rRNA from 1 species